ensembl:lncRNA
GGAACCACAUCCUUACCUAAAUUGGAUGUUUACCUUCAGAGAUUGCCCUGGAAUGUGAUGAACGUUCUGUAGCCCCGAGAAACGGGAAGGCCCAUGAGGGUGGGGAAUUGCCAAGGGACUGGAAAGCAGGGAAGCAGGUGUCCCUGGAUAAGGGUCAUGAUGUAACAACCAAACUCACCUGUAACAACCAAAUUCACCUGUAACAAACUCACGGGUUGUAUAAAAGGGAAGAGAAAAAUAAACUCGUAGCUCGGUCUUGGGAGCCCUGACGACUCUGUCUUUUUUCUUUUGAAGUGUGUUUUUUCUUUCAUCCUCACCCCUCCUCUCAGAUCCGGUCUCCUGCCCACCCCCUGUGACUGAGCUUCAUACACCCAGGACUUCACCUCUCCUCCUGGGCCCACCUGUGACCUGCGUGCCGCCCCCUCCCGGCUCUGUGAUCUCCUCUGGGGCUCUGACCCUCUUGUCCGUGCCUCUGUUUGUGGUUCCAUUCUUUGCUUUGAUGUCUCUUCCCCUAUAACCUGCAUAGACCUGCAGGCCAGAUGGCCAGGAAAGGAGUGUUCCAUCCUGACCAAGGGCCCUGGAGACAGAACACAGUCAUCUCCCACAAGCUGUAGUUUCCCAUGUGUCAAGGUCUGAACUUAUCUGGAAUUGGAGGCGGCAGACUUCAUUAGGUCCGGCGUUUGUCUUUGGAGGAAGUAUGCAGGCCCAGUCAUCUUUAUCUCCAUCUUUAUCUUGAGGCCUGGUCUCCAGCAGAUGCGUCUCCAGCUGCAGCUGUGAUGUCUUCCACCUUUCCCCUGACUCUCAGGCCCAGCCCUGUCUGACUGCCUGUAAUAUUUCUACCUAACUCAGCUGUCUGUAAUGAAAGGAGCCAAGGAUAAGAGCUCAGGGCUUAGCUCUGAAGCCCCCUGCCACCUCACAGUAGCUGUUUAUCCUCUUUCCUUUCCAUCCUUUUCCCCAAAAAAACUGUCUUUUAACUAGGACUGGAAGUCCCAUUUGACCCCACUAUUCCCCUGCUGGGGAUCUUCCCCAAAGAAUUAAAAGAUUCAUACCACAGUGCUACAUGUGCACCCAUGUUCAUAGCAGCACAGUUUGUAACAGCUAAAACUUGGAAGGAGCCCAAAUGCCCGUCACCUGGAGACUGGAUAAAGAAAAUGUGGGUUUUUAAUAAAAUGGAGUAGAACUCAGCCAUAAAAAAUGAGAAAUUAGAGACAUUUAUAGCUAAAUGGAUGGACAUUGAGGCCAUACUCUUAAGUGAAAUAAAUAGGACACACAUCUGUAAAUGCAGAAUAGUUUCUCUAGUGUGAGAAAUUGAAAGUGUAAAUAAGGACUAAAAGGUAUAAUAGAUAAUGUGAAAUAGGAAGAAAAGGGGCAAAGGGGAAGGGGAAGUGGGAGGGCUAGGGGAAAGGAAAGAAGGGAGUGGGAUUAAUAUGAGAAAAGGAAAAAAUGGAAACAAAGUCUUUGUAAAUAGGGAGGGAUGGAGGGGUUGAAGGGAGGGCAGAGGAAGGGGGAAAAAUAAGAACCAAGAGAGACUAUGUAAAGGUGCAAAUUCCCAG